rnacentral:rRNA from 1 species
CCUACGGGAGGCAGCAGUGAGGAAUAUUGGUCAAUGGCCGGAAGGCUGAACCAGCCAUGUCGCGUGAGGGAAGACGGUCCUAUGGAUUGUCAACCUCUUUAGGCGGGGAGCAAUGCCGGGCACGCGUGCCCGGAGGGAGAGUACCCGCAGAAUAAGCAUCGGCUAACUCCGUGCCAGCAGCCGCGGUAAUACGGAGGAUGCGAGCGUUAUCCGGAUUUAUUGGGUUUAAAGGGUGCGUAGGCGGAUUUUUAAGUCAGCGGUAAAAUGUCCGGGCUCAACCCGGGCCGGCCGUUGAAACUGGGGAUCUUGAGUGGGCGAGAAGUAUGCGGAAUGCGUGGUGUAGCGGUGAAAUGCAUAGAUAUCACGCAGAACUCCGAUUGCGAAGGCAGCAUACCGGCGCCCGACUGACGCUGAGGCACGAAAGCGUGGGGAUCGAACAGGAUUAGAUACCCCAGUAGUC